rnacentral:lncRNA from 1 species
GUGCCUUCCUGGACCUGCCAACAGGAACCUAUGGUAUUUGUGUCAACAUGUGCCCAGGAAACAAAUCCUGUCUAGGGGAAAGAGAUGCCAAAGCAAUGGCUGUGGUCAUGUGUGCAAAGUUGUUCCUGAAACAGCAGUGAUGACCGUGCAGGCGGAAGCACAGACCUUUACAAGAGUAGCCAGGUCACUUCUUCAGAAGAUUCUUCACCCAUCCCCAAGCCCUGGUUGUUCUUCAUCCUUGGAGUUACAAGCCUGGAAGAAAUAGCCUUAUUUUAAUUAUUCAAUUUUGGAAAUUUCCACAGGCUAACUUUUAACCAGAAGAUCUUGAUCCUAAAAACUCUUAUC